rnacentral:rRNA from 1 species
UACAGAGGUGGCAAGCGUUGUUCGGAAUUACUGGGCGUAAAGGGCGCGUAGGCGGCCCUCUUAGUCGGACGUGAAAUCCCCAGGCUUAACUUGGGAACUGCGUUCGAUACUGGAGGGCUUGAGUGCGGGAGAGGGAUGUGGAAUUCCAGGUGUAGCGGUGAAAUGCGCAGAUAUCAGGAAGAACACCCGUGGCGAAAGCGGCUCUCUGGAACGGUACUGACGCUGAGACGCGAAAGCGUGGGGAGCGAACAGG